ACGGGAGGCAGCAGUGGGGAAUAUUGGACAAUGGGGGAAACCCUGAUCCAGCGACGCCGCGUGAGUGAAGAAGUAUUUCGGUAUGUAAAGCUCUAUCAGCAAGGAAGAAAAUGACGGUACUUGACUAAGAAGCCCCGGCUAACUACGUGCCAGCAGCCGCGGUAAUACGUAGGGGGCAAGCGUUAUCCGGAUUUACUGGGUGUAAAGGGAGCGUAGACGGCAUAGCAAGUCUGAAGUGAAAUGCAUGGGCUCAACCCAUGAACUGCUUUGGAAACUGUUAAGCUAGAGUGCAGGAGAGGUAAGUGGAAUUCCUAGUGUAGCGGUGAAAUGCGUAGAUAUUAGGAGGAACACCAGUGGCGAAGGCGGCUUACUGGACUGUAACUGACGUUGAGGCUCGAAAGCGUGGGGAGCAUACAGGAUUAGAUACCCUGGUA
rnacentral:rRNA from 1 species